rnacentral:misc_RNA from 1 species
UACGGAGGGCGCAAGCGUUGCUCGGAAUCAUUGGGCGUAAAGGGUACGCAGGCGGAUCAUCAAGUCGGGUGUGAAAGCCCAGGGCUCAACCCUGGAAUUGCAUUCGAAACUGGUGGUCUUGAGUACGGGAGAGGGAAGCGGAAUUCCUGGUGUAGAGGUGAAAUUCGUAGAUAUCAGGAGGAACACCUGUGGCGAAAGCGGCUUCCUGGCCCGAUACUGACGCUCAUGUACGAAAGCAUGGGGAGCAAACAGG